CUUUUUAUCGUUAAACUCCUCGUUCUUCUCCUUUUCUCUUCAUUUCCUCUUUCGUCGCAGCGAUUUCUAAGGCGAGUUGAACGCAUGAAAGGAGUCCAAAACCAAAACACAAAAUGCAGUUGAGAUUUAGUACAGAAGUGAACCACGAAGGCCAUCGACGGACCGUCGUCUCAUCGACGGACCGUAGAUGGUGAUCGUCGAUUGGAAGUUCAGGCAUCUGGAGAAACUCGGAGAAAUCUGACCAAGUGUGGGCUAUGAAAGGAUCGACGAGUCCGUCAAUUGAUCGAUGUACCGUCUUGGUAAGUCAUCGAUCUGAUAAGAGAAUGUCCCAGUAUCCGAAGUUGAAGAAAAACAAAGUAUGGAACGACGGAAGGCAUUGACGGACCGUAGGUGCAUCGAGGGACCGUGUUGUUGGUCCGUCGAUUAGAUCAGAAAAGAUGCUAGUUGAAGGAUAAUAAAAGAUGUUAAGUAUGGACUUAUUGAGGGCAGUCCACGGUCCGUCGUUUCAUCCACGGACCGUCUGUGGUGGUCAUCAAUUGAAGCUGCGUUUUUUGGAAAACUUUCCUUACUUUAAUUCCUUUUAAUUUAGGACAAUAUUUUCUAUAAAUAGGGUGUAAAACCUCGUUUUUGGAGUUGGAUUCUAUUACUACUUUUCUUAGUUUGUUUUUGGAGAUUGGGUUUUAUAACUUUAGCAUUAAUUCAAUUUUUUGGAUUUAGUUUUCAAG